ensembl:lncRNA
AUAAAAUGGAGUGGGGGGUAGCAGAUAAAGGAGAAGAACUCCUUCUUAAGACUUAACUGUCUGUGCUCGGACUGGAAAAGCAUAUGCGUGUUUCCCUCUCCCAGGCCAGUUGACGCGUUAGCCGUUUAUCUCCCACUGGUGAGCGAAAGACUGAGAUUCCAUCCUAUUGGGGGGACGUGGCGGGGGUGGGGGGGGAACCUGUAGGGCGAGGUCCCCACCAGGCACCUGAAAUCCUAACCCCCCUGAGCCUCUCUGAAGAUAACCCAGCUUCGGUUUGUGUAGCAGACGCCAUGGCAGAAAUUAGAGUUACUUUCUGUGCCCUGGGGGCAGCGGUACCACAAGCUCUAUUAUCAGUCCUGCACCUUUGUGUUGGGACACUCUGGCACCCCUGCAGGAAAUCCGGCUGCCUUUUCCGGGAAGGGGAAGUCUUAACAGUCUUUAAGGAUCAAAUGAGAGAAGCUUCCAGGUGACUGUGGGACCUCCCAGGAACAACCCAGGAACUACCUGUAAGGGGUGGCUAUCCUCAUCUUCCUGAAGGAGUGAAAUCAGAGCUUUUAAGAGCUCAAAGGAGGGGUCGGCCCCAUGGUUAAAGUUCCACACCCUCUGCUUUGGCGACCCGAGUUUGUGGCCCGGAUCCUGGGUGCAGACCAACUUCCACUCAACAGCCAUGCUGUGGUGGCAUCCCACAUACAAAGUAGAAGAAGAGUGGCACACAUGUUACUCAGGGACAAUCUUCCUCAAGCAAAAAAAAAAAAAAAAAAAAAAAAGGAGGAUUGGCAACGGAUGUUAGCUAAGGGCGAAUCUUCCUCGCAUACAAACACAAAACAAAAAAAGAGAUGAGGAACUCCUGGAUGAAUCCCUAGGAUGGAUAAAAAGACAGCGCUUCCUGGAUGGCUGGUACCAGGGGCCGUGCGUUGGGAGCGUUGAGUGGAAAAGCUGGGCAGAUGCUCAGCUCAGUGGGAUGGGCGCUUCCUUGGAACUGUCCUCCCCCGAGGGGCUGCCCUGGCUUGACCUCAGCAUCGUGACAGCCGAGGUCAGUGGAAGGAUAUUCUCCACUGAACAGACAGCCACGUGUGCCGUCAGAGAGAGGUGUUGACUCCGGGUGGGCGGGACACGGAAGCUGCUCCCCAGUUCUCUCCUUAUUUCCUUCCCACGCCGAAGCCUGCCAAUGUCCCCAGAUGUCCUUUCCUUAAAAUCUGCUAUCCUCUCCAACAAGUAAUAAAGUCCAGCCACCCAAGCUGCCCAAACCCUGCCGACUCGGGUGUCUACUGUGCUCUGCUCUCUCCUGCCGGCGGGGAGGCAUGAGCGCUCAUCUUCGUUUCUCUUGGUUUCUCAAGGUGGAAGUAAGGAAGAGUUCUGGUCCUGUGGACAAGGGCUGAGGGAUAGACGGGCUCUCUUCCAAUUCAGCUGUGGCUUGCCUGCUCCUGAAGUAACUAAAAUCAUACACUGUUUGCCUUCCUGAGGACUGACUUCUUUUCAAAGACCGCUCCCCGUUUAGAAGACCUCAAAAGGCUAUGCAGGCGAAAAGGGCAAAAAAGGGGGAAGGUGUGGGUGGGCUUAAGCCAGUUUUGAGUUAUUUUGGAGAAAUAUAAGAUUUAUUACUGAACUGACUCCCACCCAAUGUAGUGAGAUACUUAAAAUCAAAUACAGUUAAUACUAACAUAAUUAUUGAGAAAUAUGACAGUGUUAACAUUCAGAGGCCUGAUGCUCCCGGCCCUAAUAUUAAUCAUGAGGAAGCUUAAUAUUCAAACAGAAUUGGAAUGCACUGGGCUGCUUUAAAUGCCUCCCUUUGUGCUCAGGCAGGACACUAUCUUCUCAAGGGUGGAAUGGCUCCAUUUGCAUAAUGUCUUGUCUUUGUUCCUUCUGUUGUCCCAGCUAAUUGCUUUAGAAUACCCGACCUCUGCUAGUCCCCUAUCUUUCUUGCCAAUAAUGAUUUGUGGUCCUCUUCCCUCUUGAUAUGUAAAAUUGUAGGUGAGCUGAGACACUUCAAAGCACAAGACUUUACGUGAGUAUCCCCCAGUGGGGGUGGCGAUAUUGACAUUUUCACCGGAGACAGAGUGGAUCAGUGUCAGGAGGGAGAAGCCAGCUCCCUCGGGCUCCCUACUUAGGGAGGUGUCUCCUUACGUGAUGGGAGGGGCUGAGUUUGAAGAAAAGACGGUAAGUUUUGGGUUUUAGAAGUUCCCCUUCCUGAGAUAGACUUGGAGUGGGGAUUGCCUGCUUCCUUUGGUUAAUUAAAUCGGCGAUGUUUCUGUGACUCAGCUGUUCUGCCUUCUCUAAAUUGUCCUGGGACCUUAAGGGGCAAGGAUACCCAGGCUGGAGGUGGAGGUAGAUAGGACUAGUACUGGUGACUAUCUAACAGGUGCUCACUUAUUAGGCACUGACUAUGAGCUGGUCAUGUGUUAAGUGCCACACAAACAUUCUCUUGUUUAAUCCUCACUUUGCCAAUAAGGUGGAUUCUGUUGUUAUCCACAUUUUGCGGUAUAGGAGAGGAAAAAUGUUUUCCUCUACCCUCUUACAUUCUGUGCCUGAGACCCUGCACAUUAAACUGACAAAAGACGGGUUAACGAAGAAGAGGCAUGCACAUUUUAAUUUGAUGUUAAUAUUAUAAUUUUUUACAUGUAUAUGGGGAUCUCACAGAAAGGAAAUGAAAAGUCAAAGAACUGGUUGGGUUGCGAGCUCAUAUACCAUUUUAACACAGGGUGAUAAACUUGUGGAGAAGUGACAAGAUAAAAGAAAAAGGUUUGAGCUUCUAGGAGCAGUAAAUUGUGGGAAAGUAAAUAUAUGGGGGAAACUAAUGGAAGACAAGGGUUAUUUCAGUAACAUUUGCUUAUGCUUAUGGUGCCAUCUCCAGUGAUCAGAAUCCUUUCUUCUUCCUGGUGUGGGAGUGGGGGAGGGUGGACACCUUCACAAAGGGAAAUUUAUGCCCUGCCUUUAUGCAGAAAUGGGGAGGAAAGAGAUUUUUCUGCAUCUGCUGUUUCUUGAUUGCCUUUAGCUCAAAAUAAUCGUCAUGCCAAAGUGGCGUAUUUCGAUGUGGUGUAUCCUGAUCCCAUCCAGCAGCUGAGUAAACUGAAGCAUAGAAAGCAACUUGCCUGAAGUCGCAGAACAGGCACCUGAGCUGGACCUGUUUUAAAGACAGAGAAGGCGGGGCUGGGGCAGCAGGCGCGGAGCUCACGUGGCAAGAACGUCAAGGUCAUGUAGCUCAAAAUCUGCUCUCCCAGCCCUUUAGUCCUUGGGACACCCAACACAGGGGAAGAAACUGCUGGUCCUCUGAGGAGGUGAGAAGUAGCAGGAGAGAGAAAGAACCAGGAGGAUGAGGAGCUGUGGGUCAAGCCAGGAAACUUCCACCAGGGAGGCUGGGAGUCAGGACAAAAAGCACUGUCCAGAUGGUGGAGCCUCUAGGAGCCUGGGUCUCUUGGAGCGGACAGCGUGAGCAGAGCCCCAGCUGACCACAUUGGGCACAGAGCAUGUGUUUUAAGCUACUGAUAUUUGCAGGUGUUUGUUUCCUCUGUAUACCCCAAUCUAUCCUGAUUAUCCCAUUUCACAGAGGAGGAAACUGAGGCACAGAGAAGUAACUUGACUGAAGUCGUACAUCUAGGAGACGGUGGAGCCAGGAUUCAAAGUCAACCGUCUAUUAGUCCUUGCUGUUUAGAACCCUGGAAUGACUCAGAUGGCCAUCUUUUCUGAGGCUUCGCUCUUAGCUUUCUCACUGGGAGAAAUUUUACUCCUCCCUCCCCGACCCCAGACAUUUGGCAACGUCUAGAGAUAUUUUUGGUCAUCACAACUUGGGGGGUGGGAGGGGAGCUGCUGGCAUCGGGGUGAGUAGAAGCCAGGUACGCUGCUAAGAGUCCUAUCGUGCACAGGACGUCCCCCACCACAAAGAAUUACCCAUCCCCAAACUUCAAUAGCACCGCUGUGGAGAAGCCCCAACUUACACGAAAUUCCUCUGUUGCUUAAACUAACCGCAGUUGGCUGCUUCUGCUUGCAGCUGGAGACUUAGUUGGGUUGUUAUGAGUUAGUUAAUUAAUUAAUUGCAAACAGUGGGGUGUCGGUGCUGGGCCUGGUCCUAUUUGACAUUUGCCUAACUAAUGUGGAGGAGUAAGUGGUGAGAGCCCCACAUUCGCUGAUGACACUUAGCUGUGCCAGGUAGUGAAAUGCCAAGCCGCUGGUGAUAAGCUGCGGGAAGAUCUCACCAGGCUGUGCGAGUGGGCAGAGGAGUUGCCAAGGAGGAGCUUCAGUGUGGGCAAGUGCAAGGUGCUGUGUUUGGCAAAAAAUAAUCCCAGCUAUACUUAGAGGCUGGAAGAGGACGGAAGAGGAUAGAAGAAAAUGAAUAAAAAUUGAAAGGACUCCAGAGAGUGAUUCCCACGCCUGAUUCUAAGGCUCACCUGCGCUCUGGCUAACAACACCACAGGCCCUGGCAUGGGCUUGACCCGAGGCCUGGGCACUGCUACUUGGCUGCUUUUUAUUUUCUGCAGGAAUACAGACCCAGUUUCUCCAGAUUUCCUGAUUUUCAAGAGAAGCCCCAAAUCCUGACUUUUAUGUGUAAGUUCCCACUUUUCCUUUUCUUUUCUUUUUUUUUUUUUUGAGGAAGAUUAGCCCUGAGCUAGCUACUGCCAACUCUCUUCGUUUUGCUGAGCAGGACUGGCCCUGAGCUAACAUCCGUGCCCAUCUUCUUCUACUUUCUAUGUGGGACGCCUGCCACAGCAUGGCUUUUGCCAAGCGGUGCCAUGUCUGCACCCGGGAUCCGAACCGGCGAACCCUGGGCUGCCGAGAAGUGGAACGUGCGAACUUAACUGCUGCGCCACCGGGCCGGCCCUCUCCUUUUUUUUUUUGGUCACUUUUUAUUUCAAUAUAGUGUCAAGCCUAUAGAAAAAAAUGCAAGGAUGGCAUAAAGAGCUCCUAUACCCUUUACCCAGAUUCACCAGUUGCUAACAUUUUGCCCAAUUUGCUUUAUCAUUUUAAGUUCCCAAUUUUUGUAAACAUCCCAUGGAUCAAGCUAAAGAAGAAUGUGAAUGGACUUUGGUCCUUAAACCAUCAGCUGGUGACUUCUGAAGCUCAGGCUCCCCUCAGACCAAAUAAAUGAGAAUCUAGGCGGCGGACAUUUGUAUUUUAAAAAAUUUCCUCCAGCUGGUGCUAACGCGCAGCUAGGGCUGAGAACUGUCAUGGUGAUUCCAUUCCCCCUAUUCGUGACUGGCUUAGGGGUGGCCACGUGACCCAGUUGCGGUCAGUGAGAAUAAGGAGAAAGUCUAACGGAGUGCUUCUAAGAAAGGUUUCUUCCCGCUUCAAGAUACACAGGAGAGCGGCAGCUCUCCUGUUAGGUGCUGUCUCUGCAUUUGAUGGAUACUGGCCUAAGGAUGCAAGUGUGAAAACACGGAAAGACUGUGGGUCUUUAAAUUUAUCUUUGAGCUGCUGAAUUAACUAAGCUUGGGGCCCGUUUAUCUCGAGAUUUCUUUUUAUGGAAGAUACAUUUUUCUUCCUUAGGUUGUUUGGCAGAGAUGACUAGUCACCUGCCGAAGAUCCGUGCAUACCCGUGUUAUGUAGAGUUAGUCCUUGGAAGCAAGUCUCCAGCCACGGAUGACAUUUCCAGCAUCCCCUCCCCUGCAAUCUAGAGGGAACCACGUGACUCGUUCUCACUAAUGGAAUGUGACAUGAAGUGGCUUACUUCUGGGUCAAGGUGGUUAAAUUCAGGUGCCUGAGGGGCUGGCCCCAUGGCCGAGUGGUUAAGUUCGCGCGCUCCGCUGCAGGCGGCCCAGUGUUUCGUCGGUUCGAAUCCUGGGCGCGGACAUGGCACUGCUCGUCAGACCACGCUGAGGCAGCGUCCCACAUGCCACAACUAGAGGAACCCACAACGAAGAAUACACAACUAUGUACCGGGGGGCUUUGGGGAGAAAAAGGAAAAAAUAAAAUCUUGAAAAAAAAAAAAAAUUCAGGUGCCUGAUCCUUCACCUUCUCACCACCACCCCUGUCCCCUUCCCCGAUCUAGCCAGGUGGGUGACAUCAGGGUAACCCUGAAGCCACAAGAUGGCAGGACUAAAAGACAGAAGCAGCUUGGUUCCCUGGUUACAGGCUGGAGCAGAGCCGUCCAGGAGUGCAGCUCGGCCAGGAGCACCUACAUUGGACUUUGCGUGGGCAAAAAAUAAAGGGCUAUUGGGUUAAGCCCUUGAGAUUUGGGGUUUUGUUAUGACAGAUAGUGUAGUCCACCUGACAAAUAGAGUCUAGCUAAGCUAGAAUCAGGUGUUGUUUGCAGCCUAAAGGUUCUUACUGAAAGUUUUGG